UUCCACAGACAUUUCACAGUGAUUCAUCAAAAAAAGGUCUUCAAAAUCUAUGAAGAGAGAUGGCAGAAGAAAUUCUUAAAGGAUCAGUUUCAAAGGAUGAGUUGUGUUCCUUCUGUGGAAACGAGGACCUGCCCAAAACAGCUGUUGAUGAUCAAUAGAGGAGCUGGCUGAAGCCAAAAAGGCAGUCUGAGGGAUUCCUUCCAAGGCCAUGAUUUUCAUUCACUGCUCUCAGCUGUUGAGGACGCAUGCGCAGACGAGAGCUUCUGUUUGACUUCCUCAAUGUGAUGACGAAGCUCCAUCCUCUCUUUUUUUGCUUCAAUUAAAAGCAGUAUUAAAUCUAAAGAGC